AAGAUUGGGCUCCAAAACUGAAAUCCAAUUGAAAUAAAAAAGGCGGAGCUGCAGUACUUGGCGUUUUCGAUUUCCUCCCGAAAUUUCACUUCCCCCUCCCCGACUUGCACUCCCGCCGAUUUUUCUUUGCCAAAAGUUAAACUUCCCACUUGUUUUUUUGCACACAAAUUCCCACUCUGGCCUCUAUUUUUUCAUUGACCUACCUCUCUCUCUCUGCAUCUCUUCCUCAUCGAAUUCAAUCACCACAGACGAGUAUUCUCUCUCCUUCUCGAUCUGUCUAUACCGUUUUCUUCUCGCCAGAUCUGUGUGCUUUGGUGCUGGGUAACAAUUGUUUCUUCAUGAUUCCCCGUUGGUUUUCUUUCACCAGGAUCUACGAGCUUUCUCCGUUGCCAUUAACGAGGAUCCGAUCUAAGAGUCUUGACUGGCGGUGGCUUUCUUCUCAUCCAAAUCAGAAUUAGAUGGAUGCCAAGCCUAAACCCUCUCAUCCUCUUUGCAAUGAUGUCGCCGUCAUCUCUCCGCAAACCACCGACCUCACCGCCUACCCUAGACGCCUCCGCGAUGUCGUUCUUCACCCAUAUCAUCCACCGUCCUCACCAAAUCGAACUUUUGGUAAUAAUUAUUAUAAGGUUUUGUUGGGUUUUGGUUAGUUCAUCAGUUUGGCUCCAAAUAUGUCUUACACAUCUCAUAUCAUCCACCACUCCAAAAAGGUCCGCUCUUCAAUUGAAUUUGGUUUUGAUUCUAAUCUGGGUGAUGCUGUUUACUUUGAUUCUAAUCUGGGUGAUGCUGUUUACUUUGAUUCUAAUCUGGGUGAUGCUGUUUACUUUCAUUAAUUUAUGACAUAUUUAUUCUGUUUUCUUUCUCCAAAUUUUGUUAUAGGAUUAUGUGCCUACAGUGUUUGACAACAUCAGUGCUAAUUUGGUGGCGGAUGCACAGUUAAACUUGGAUUGUCGGACACUGCAGGCUGAGCAUCUUGCUGGGUUUGUUCUUUCUGUAUGUUACAAUACCAUGCAAGCUCUUUUUCUUUAUUUUAUUUUUUUGCUUGUUUACCUUACAAUGUUCAAAGAAUAGCUUCACUAUUUUAAUUUGAAACAGAAUCAGUCAACAGCUACCUUGUUGUUAUAUAAAGCUGGUACAUUCUUAAUACUGAUAUAGCCUGGGGUAUCCCAAAAUGCUAAAACUAUACUUUCACUUUUUCCUGGUACAGGAUAAUCUUGUCCUAGGGUCAAUUUAUUUUUCCACUGAAUGCAUUUCAGAGUUUGGAGUUCUUCUAAUGUUGCUCCUUUUUAGCUUAUAAACUCUAUUCUCAUUUUGUACCUAUGAUCUAUCAUUCCUCUUCUUUUUCCCCACGUAGUAUGUUGCAUGAUUUUGUGAUUUUCAUAAUUUAUUUAUUUUGGCCUAUUAAUGCUUAUUGUCGUGAUGAAGAAUGGGGGAGGGUAUCAUGUUUUUUCUUCUUUCUUUUUCUUAUCUACAAGAAGUUAGUAAGCUUGCAUGAAUUCAAUAGAUGGAUGGACAGCUCAAGAAAGUAUUGAAACUCCAGACUUACUAUUUCAAUUUAUUAUAAAUAAGUUCUAGCACUUAGAGGAAAGGACUACGGCAAGUCAAAGAUGAGUUAUCUGGGCCAUGAUUUCAGGUUAUUCUUAUUCUUACUAUCUAGUAAUCAUUUAAGUAAGUUUUAAUGGAUUUAAGCUCAGCUUUGUGCAAUCAGAUAUGGGAAAUCGUUGAAUUCCAGUUGUCAAGUAUUCGUUUCUGUUUCGGUGCGCCUUGGGCAUUGAUGGCUUAUUUAGAAAUUUCGAGAUUCUCAAGAAAACUGGGUUGAACAAAUGUCUGAGGUCCAGAUGGUGCAAUGUGUUUCAUUCUAAAGCCUGUAGACAAAAAAUGCGGAGGGACAGACUGAAUGGCAAGUUAUGAUUGAAGAUAUUGGGAAGCAGAUUAAGCAACUAUAAACCUACAAGGUGCAGGACAUUGAUUUACUUGACUAGAAUUGUUGAACUGUAAUUUGUUAUACUUUAUAAAUUUGUAUGCAUAUGGUGUAUUUUGAUUUAGUUAAUAUUGCAUUUGGUGGUGUAUUUUGAGGGGUGUACAAUUGGAGAAAGCUUCCUUUUAUUAUUAAUUAAAUUUUUUUUUUGGGUUU